GACAGGUUUCACUAGUAGUAAAAAGUAGAAGACAAAAUGUAACUGACAGGUUUCACUAGUAGUAAAAAGUAGAAGACAAAAUGUAACUGACAGGUUUCACUAGUGGUAAAAAGUAGAAGAGAAAAUGUAACUGACAGGUUUCACUAGUGGUAAAAAGUAGAAGACAAAAUGUAACUGACAGGUUUCACUAGUGGUAAAAAGUAGAAGACAAAAUGUAACUGACAGGUUUCACUAGUGGUAAAA